GUCUACGGCCAUGCUACCCUGAACAUGCCCGAUCCCGUCUGAUUUCGGAAGCUAAGCAGGGUUGGGCCUGGUUAGUACUUGGAUGGGAGACCGCCUAGGAAGACCAGGUGCUGUAGGUG
rnacentral:rRNA from 1 species